rnacentral:lncRNA from 1 species
CAAUCAUCUUCCAAAAGAUACUGACGAAUCGAGUCCAAGAGGCAGAGAUCAAAAUCUGAAGCACUAUCACAGUACAUAUUUGUGUGUUGCUAGAAACGGCUUUGACGCUUUGAGACUGCCAGGUAUGGAUUUGAUUUCAAUGGCUUCGCUGCGUUUCCGUUUGCUGUUUGAUUUUUUAUAUAUAUACCUUGAAACUUAGGUAUUAAACUAUGGUUAUUUACUUUCUUCAGACAAUUCCGGGAAGUUGCUGAUGGUUGAGAUCUACAUUUUCAUCACGUUUUCGAAGUGCCGCAACUGUUCAUUUAUUUAGUUUACUUUAUCCUUUUAAUUGUUUAUUUAUUGAACGUUAAUGGCGACAAAAUCUCCAUUUAAGAAUCAAUGAAUAAAC